rnacentral:rRNA from 1 species
GACGAACGCUGGCGGCGUGCUUAACACAUGCAAGUCGAACGGAAAGGCCCUGCUUUUGUGGGGUGCUCGAGUGGCGAACGGGUGAGUAACACGUGAGUAACCUGCCCUUGACUUUGGGAUAACUUCAGGAAACUGGGGCUAAUACCGGAUAGGAGCUCCUGCUGCAUGGUGGGGGUUGGAAAGUUUCGGCGGUUGGGAUGGACUCGCGGCUUAUCAGCUUGUUGGUGGGGUAUUGGCUUACCAAGGCUUUGCCGGGUAGCCGGCCUGAGAGGGUGACCGGGCACAAUGGGACUGAGGGACGGAGCAGAAGCCUACGGGCGGCAGUAGUGGGGAAUAUGGCACAAUGGGGGGAAGCCUGAUGCAGCAACGCCGCGUGCGGGAUGACGGCCUUCGGGUUGUAAACCGCUGUCGCCUGUGACGAAGCGUGAGUGACGGUAAUGGGUAAAGAAGCACCGGCUAACUACGUG